GAGCACGACAUUUUCAAAGGGUAGGUAGAAAAUGUAAAACUACUGACUAAAAGUAGAUUUUAGUACUCUGUGUCCCUUUUACCAGGCCUGUCCCAUUUCUCCUUAGAUAACCCAAUUUGUUUUGUAUCACCUGAAACAUAAACCUCUUCAAUGAGCUGUUUUAGAGCACUCCAGCACAACUGCAGAUUUCUGAUACCUGAAGCAGUGCAAUCAAAUGUUACUCCCAGUAUGGCACCGGGAAUCUACAAUUGAUAUGUCACUCAGCUUGAAAACAUCAGUGUUUUGUCCUUGCUUUGGUGGGAUAAAAACGCCUCUUAUCUUAAGCCCUGGGGACAAAUGUGACCAACCCCCAGGAUUUUAUCUUGAGUGUCUUUGGCACUUCUUUUGGCACUGAAAUAAUGUUUGGAUAAAAAUAGUUGAAUAUACAGUGUCUGGUUUUAUAUUUGCUUGUUCUUAUCUGAGUUUUCCCUUGUAGACAUGAACUUUCACUCUGAAGGAGGUCAUCCUUUAGGAGUAUUUAAACCCCCAAAAGCCCUCACCUUGGGAAAGGUUCAUAUCUAGGGACCAGAGACUGUUGCUCAGGGAAUUAGUAAUAGGACCUGGACAUCUGAUCUGCGGGUGUCAAGUCUAGUUCAGUUCAUGUUAUAGGGAACUUAGUUACACAUCAUCACCAGUCCAGGGGUCAGGUGGAAAGAAGUGGCUGACACUUUUCAUUUGCCAGUGCCCCACAGGUAUAGAAAUAAUAGAGUAUUCAUUUAGCAUUGAUUAUCGUUCUAAAAAAAAAUCCAAAGUGUGCUAAUAAUUCCUUAUUGUUAUAAUGGAUUCACAGUAGGCUUUAGCUAAAUAGCAAACUCCUCUGGGACUCCUAAAUUAUGACAUAAUUAACAAACUUUGAUUUUCAAGAAGUUGUUUAUGACAGCUAUUGCCUGGACUACAGGACACCAGCCAAGAUGAGGGCAGGGGUAGAUACAGGCUCACUGGAGUGGUGAAUUAACUUGUGUUGUCAUGACCACUUCUUCAACAAAGAUGCUAGGGAGAAGACCAGAGAGACUGGGACCGGGUCUUACUCAAGGAAAAUUUAUUUAACAAUCACUUUUGUGUUGAAAGAACUUUGCAUUUCUGGAUUUAGAAUCCAGUAUCAGUCCAGCGAGUUCAGUAAGGAAACCAUCUGUCUCUAUCUGAUGGAGCCAUAACUGUGCAGAGAUGUGGCCAGGGGUCUUUUGUGUUCUCUCUUAUUAGUUAAUACCGCACUUUGUAAGCAGGAGGGGCAGUUUGGCUGGUUAGCAAAGUCCACAGUCACUAGAUAGGUAUGACAAAGUCUGAGUGUGACUUCUUGCAUAAACGGGGUGGUGGGCUUUAUUGAGAUGUUUCAAAUAUGUGAAUGAAUGAAUUACACUACCAGCAACCAUCUGCCCAAGUACAUUUGUAUACAUUCAUAAGGUGUACCCUGUGAAGCCUCUUCUCAUUGUAACAUCAGUAACAAAGUUAGAGUCUUUAUAAGGGGCAUGGUGUACCUGGUAUCCAAGUUAUUUUGUUCUCUUUUGGGUCUCCAGUUCCAAUGAACUGUAAAACAUUUUACAUGUUACAUUUUUUAUACUGUAAAACUUGGAAAAUAAACUGAAAUCCC
rnacentral:lncRNA from 1 species